AUUGAACGCUGGCGGCAGGCCUAACACAUGCAAGUCGAACGAGCGGCGGACGGGUGAGUAAUGUAUGGGGAACUGCCCGAUGGAGGGGGAUAACUACUGGAAACGGUGGCUAAUACCGCAUACUAUCGGAUGAACCCAUAUGGGAUUAGCUGGUAGGUGGGGUAAAGGCUCACCUAGGCGACGAUCGCUAGCUGGUCUGAGAGGAUGACCGGCCACACUGGAACUGAGACACGGCCCAGACUCCUACGGGAGGCAGCAGUGGGGAAUAUUGCACAAUGGGCGCAAGCCUGAUGCAGCCAUGCCGCGUGUAUGAAGAAGGCCUUCGGGUUGUAAAGUACUUUCAGCUGGGAGGCGUUACCAGCAGAAGAAGCACCGGCUAACUCCGUGCCAGCAGCCGCGGUAAUUC
rnacentral:rRNA from 1 species